AUGUGUGUCAAAAUGAGUGAACAACCUGUCAACUUUCUCAGUUGGAAUGUUAGAGGGCUUAAUUGCCCGGAUCGACGCGCAACCGUCAACGAAACCAUAGCCGCAUCCUCCUGCCAUAUUGUUUGUUUGCAAGAAACAAAGCUGGAGCUUGUCGAUCAGUUCACCGCCUCAUUCCUUGGAGGGUCCAGACUUAGGAAUUUUGCGCAAAGGCCGGCCAGCGGCACGAGAGGAGGGAUGCUUAUGCUUUGGGACGAUCGUGUCGUCGAUGUCACUGACAUCACCACCACCACUUUCUGCCUUUCAGCUAUGGUCCAAGUCAGGGCCUCCGGCUCCCGGUUCAAAAUUACGUCCGUCUACGGGCCGACCCUCUCGUCCCUCAAAGAGGCCUUCUUCACCGACCUCGCAAGCCAAAAACCACCCAGUGGGGAGUUAUGGCUGGCUCUGGGUGAUUUUAACCAGAUUUACCGCGCCCGAGACAAGAACAAGCGCAACGUCAAUAGGAGGAGGAUAAACCGUUUCCGCUCCACGCUCCACGAGUGUGAUCUCAAGGAGAUCCACCUCCAGAACAGGCAGUUCACUUGGAGCAACGAGAGAAAUAGCCCAACCCUAUGCAAGCUCGAUUCCUUCUUCUGUAACGCCGAGUGGGACCUGCAGUUCAGUACACACAUCUUGCAUGCUCUGUCAUCUUCGCUCUCAGACCAUUGCCCUCUUCUUCUCGCGGACGACAGGGGGCCUCGCAGGCCUCGCUCAUUCAAAUUUGAGAAUUUUUGGACUUCUCUUCCGGGGUUUAGCGAUGUGGUUGCUAAUGCAUGGAAUGAGCACACUCAUCAUACCGACCCCUUUCGGAUAUUGCACCACAAGCUUCAACACACUGGCGCCAAACUCUUGAGAUGGAGUAAGGGCCUAUUCUCAACGGCCAAGAUCAUGCAUCAUGCUGCCUUGCUAGUAAUUCUUCACCUGGACAUGGCUCAAGACUCGAGGCACCUCUCCGCUGAGGAGCUGGAGCUCCGCUCUAGGCUUAAGCGGAGAGUCAUUGCCUUGGCAGUUCUUGAGAGGGCGAGAAAAAAGCAAUGUGCUAGGAUUUCCAACCUCAAAGAGGGUGAUGCAAACACCAAAUUUUUCCACCGCCGGGUGAACGCUAGAAGACGCAAGAACCACAUACACCGUAUCAAGCACAACGGUGGAUGGGUCACUGAGCACUCUCAAAAGGAGGCUUUUGUCCACGACUAUUUCUCCUCGACCAUGGGAAAAGGCUCCACGGCGACCACAGACUUCAACUGGGAGGGGUUGGACAUUGAGGCUCGUGAUGAUUUGGGCAACCUCGCGGACCCUUUCUCCGAGGAGGAGGUGCGUGAGGCCAUCAACCAGAUGCCUGGUGACAAGGCGCCCGGCCCGGAUGGAUUCACCGGGCUUUUCUUCAAGAGUUGUUGGGCCAUCAUCAAGCAUGAUAUUAUGAAGGCCAUCUUUUGCUUCGGUAACCUCCGCACGGCCAACCUUCAUUGGGUCAACUCCGCCAACAUUAUACUGCUCCCAAAGAAGGAUGGAGCUGAAGAAAUCUCCGACUACCGUCCAAUUAGUCUGAUUCAUGCUAUUCCCAAGAUCAUUGCAAAGGUCCUUGCCAUCCGUCUUAGCCACCACAUGCUCCACCUUGUCUCCAACGCGCAGAGUGCUUUCAUCAAAACAAGAAGCAUCCAUGACAAUUUCAUGUAUGUGAGGAAUCUUGCGCGGAGGCUCUGCAAGUGCAAAACCCCUUCGCUUCUCUUCAAGUUGGACAUUCGGAAGGCAUUUGAUUCAGUCAAGUGGGAGUAUAUCAUUGACCUCCUCCGCCGUAGGGGGUUCCCGAGCAUUUUCAGAGAUUGGAUCACCGCCCUAAUUUGCUCCUCUUCCUCGCGGAUUCUUCUUAACGGCGUCGCUGGCAGCCCCAUCAUCCAUGGCCAGGGUCUCCGACAGGGGGACCCUAUAUCCCCCUUGCUAUUUGUGCUCGCGAUCGACCCACUCCAAAGAAUUCUUGAGAUGGCGGCAACUACAGGGCUAUUUCAUAAAAUCCGUGGCCGUGGGGUUCUUUUACGAACCUCCCUUUAUGCGGACGACGCGGCGGUCUUCAUGGCACCCAUCAAGCGCGAUAUUGACCACCUCUCCAACAUCCUUUGUCUUUUUGGCGAUGUCACCGGUCUAGCCACCAACUUUCACAAGAGCUCGGUCAUCCCAAUCCGUUGUGGGCACAUCAACCUGUCGGACAUCCUUCAAAACCUUCCGGCGGCGCGCGGAUCCUUCCCCAUGAAAUACUUAGGCCUCCCGCUCUCUGUGUGGCGGCUCAGGAAGGUGGACUUUCAGUUCUUGGAGGAUAAGGCGGCGGCAAAGUUGGUCCCUUGGGACGGGCAAAACAUCACGUCUAUGGGACGCACCGCCUUGGUCAAGUCGGUGCUUGCCUCCCAAGCCAUAUACUUCAUCACUACACUCGUCCUCCCCACAAGCACCCUCAAAAAUCUCAACAAGCUUGAGCGAGCGUUCCUUUGGGAGGGAACUGACAAGACCACCGGGCCCAAAUGCAAGGUUAAUUGGGACACCGUUUGCCGCCCAAUUGCUAAUGGGGGUCUUGGAGUGCUAAACACGGAGAAAUUUGCUAGGGCACUGAGGAUUCGUUGGAUUUGGUUUGAGUGGAAGGAGCCAACUAAGAUGUGGGUUGGCAUGGGCAACCCGUGCGAUAACGCAGACUACAACUUCUUCUAUGCCUCCUCAACUAUUAUUGUGGGAAAUGGCGCGCGCACCCCCUUUUGGGACUCUCCGUGGGUGCACAACCGCAAACCCAUGGAUUUGGCCCCUCUCAUCUACGCGGCGUCAACGAGGAAGAAUUGGAAGGUGCGGGAAGCACUAAAGGAUGGCGCUUGGGUUAAAAAGAUCAAGAUGACGUCCGAUUUUUCUAUAGAGCACUUCAGACAAUUUCUCGAGCUUUGGGCCACCAUCCGGGAUUUUCACCUACAGGAGGAUAUUGACGACGACAUUGUUUGGAAGCAUUCUACUAGUGGCCUCUACACGGCGGAGUCCGCCUACAAAGCGCAAUUUCUCGGCCUCAUUCGCUCUCCCUUGGAGCAUGCAGUGUGGAAAAUCUGGGCUCCACCUAAGGUCAAGUUCUUUGCUUGGCUGGCCAUCCAAAAUAGAGUCUGGACUGCGGAUCGUUUGGCCAAGCGCGGUUGGCCUAACUGUGGCUCAUGCCCCUUAUGCAUGCGUGAGAAUGAAUCGGUUGACCAUCUCUUCUUCAAAUGUCGUUUCACCAUUCGCCUAUGGGGCUUGGUCAAGGCGUGGCUGCAACUCAUUCACAUUGACACCUCUACUUGGCCCCUGAGGCAUUCCACCUUAGAAUGGUGGCUUGGGUUGACUGAUGCUUCCGUCCCCAACCGGAAGGCCAUGGCCUCGCUCACCAUGCUCACUACAUGGACGAUCUGGAACGAGCGAAACGCUCGUGUAUUCCGCAACAUGGCAGCUCCGCCUACGGUUCUUCUCGACAACAUCAAAAGGGAGGCAUCAUUUUGGGUCGCCGCCGGAGCUAAGAAGUUAGGGUCCAUCAUGCCGGGAGAGUGA
rnacentral:rRNA from 1 species